UGCUGUUUCUUCCUGGCCGGCCUUGAGAAACCAUUUCCGCCGCUGACGUGCGUCUACGCCCAUCAUUUCAGCUGACACGUUGCUGUAACGUCUCCUCCGUUUCAUGCUCUUUCGAACCCUGUCAGCUGCGGGAAGGAACUUCUAAACUAAAAGCUGGCAAGACUCAGCAGAAAAAAAAUAUCGAAAGCUGCUUCUGCUGCCCCAGCUUCACUCAGGCCCUGGCUGCUCCUUCACUGGUCUACACUGCUGCCUCCUGGAACCACCCACUCUGCAACCAGGUCUGAUGCCCGGUGUGGACAUUCAGGGAUGAGGUCCCCUGGGGCUAAAUGAAUGAACAGAUUCUGAAAAGCAGAAGCUACGUCCGGGGGUCUCUGGGCCACAAAUCACUUUCUGACCUGCAGCCGUGAGGCGUGAGGCUCACUCGGAAGCUCCCGGAACCUGGAGACUGCCCUCACUCAACACUUGAACAAGCAAGGGGCCAGGUUCAAUGAAACACCUGCCCGCCCGGCACACCAGGCUCAAAAGCAAGCAAGCAAGCAAACAAACAAACAAAAUCAAAUCAGGCCUUCACAACUCCCCAAAUCAUGUGUGAGUUUCUACAGAGCAGAAGCCAAAAAUAUAUGUUAUCUAACUAGGUCCUAUUUACAUAUAUUUUUAUGGCUGCUCUAAAAAAUUAUCACAAACAUAGCGGCUUCACCCCGUUUCCCCUGUUGUGAUUAUUACACAUUGGAUGCCUGUAUCAAAAUAUCUCAUGGACCCCAUAAAUAGCAACACCCUGUAUGUACUCAUGACAAUUUUUUAAAAAAGAACACUUACACUUUCCAUUUCUGCAGGUUAGACGUCUGAAAUGGUCUCCCUGGGCUAACAUCAGGUCUUGGGAGGGCUGGUUCCUUCUAGAGGCUCCAGGGGAGAACCCCUCGGCCCUCAGUCCCAUCCUCCGUCUUCAGAGCCAGUGGUGUCUCGUCACUGAGACCUGCUCUGCCCUCCGCCUCUAUGUUGAAGGGCCCGAGAUUCUACUGGGUCCCCCCGGAUAAUCCAGGGUCACCCCUCCGUGUCAGGCGGCUGACUGGCAGCCUCAUGUGUCCACAGUUUCCGUGCACCGGGAGGUGGGCAUGUUUAGGGGCCCCCAUUCUGCCUCCCAUGAGUCUGCAGGGCCUGACUUUGUAAUUUGGGAUCAUUCUUAGGGUACCCAGAUACAACAAACAAAAACGCAGCAAACAAAAACACAGGGUGCCCAGCUCAACAGGAAGUUUGGAGAAGCAGUGACUGAUUUUUUAGUCUCCCGACCUGGGGUACAGCGAGAAGGAGGAGACGGAGGCAGACCGGCACGGGGUGGUCAGGGACAGCGGUGCUGACACACGGCUGCUCAAAGAUGACUUGGAACUCGAGGCCCAGCUCGUUAUUCUGGGGGUGACUGGCUCCCAGUGUCUGGACGGGUCUGAGCCCCACCACAGCUGGCCUGGACUGGACUGGAAACCGUGCCCAUUAACGACCCCUGGGCCACCCAGAGCCCCCAGCUCCGGAGACCCCGGGGUCUGGUUUGUGGCUGUUUGUCGCCCACGGGCCCCUCCACCAGCUCCUUUCGGUGAGUGUUGAUUCAGGGAGAACCGGACGGUCAGGCACUGGUUUACUCUCUGGAGGAAAGCAGGAAGCUGAGAAAAGCACUUCACUGCUGCCACACUGAGUGUGGCUUGUUUCCUAGAGAAGCCUCUGUGUGGUGGUCCCGGCCAGGCCGCGGAGCAGCGCAGCCUUGGGGGCGAGGCACCCUCCCCUCCCCAUGCCCAUGGGGCUCUCCUUCGGGACUUCAGCACCAGGGGAAGUUCUUUCUCCAGAGCAGCCGUCUUGGCCUUCAGGCUGGAGUGCGGCUCACAGAGGCCGGGCAGCCAGGAGACAGCGGCUCUGGGAUAUUCCAAACAUACUGGAGAGCUCACGUGUGUGCACAGGGAAGGGCGGCCGGUGAGCUUGAACUGAGGGUGCGGUCACCAGCCAAGUUUUCCAAGGAGGCGCCCUCCAGAUUCACACCUGGGUGCAGCUUGCGAUGUUUACAUUUUUUUAUUUUUUUGAGAUGAAGUCUUGCUCUGUCGCCCAGGCUGGGGUGCAAUGGCACCAUCUUGGCUCACUGCGACCUCCACCUCCCAAGUUCAAGUGAUUCUCC
rnacentral:lncRNA from 10 species